rnacentral:lncRNA from 10 species
UCUAGUUGUCAUGUCAAAAAACUACUUAGACAGACUAUGAAGAGAUACAUAGGGUGAGAAACGGAGGCCUUCAGCCAACAGCUGGGAGAAGCUGAGUCCCAUCAGCCAUUCAAAAGACUGCAGCCCCAGCCAAGAGUUUGAUGUAACCUCAGGAGAGACCCUGAGCCAGAACCACCUAGGCCAACGAGCUAUACCUAGUGAUUCCAAAGUCCACAUAUAUUUACUCUGUUCUCACUGUACAAAGUAACCACUCUGAAGUCAAAAAAGCUGGGAUACAUGAAGACUGCCAUCCCUUGAGUCACUUGCCCUGUAGCUGCCACUGUUGGAAAAGGGCUUGCUUCUGUGUCCUUGUGCCCACUUUGAAAAUCCCUGGGAAGUCCUUGGAGUCAGAUGAGCAGGCCUCCGCCACUCUGCCAAAAAGUCUGUUCACAAUGGUGCUUCUACAAUUUCCUUAUAGGAGGAGUGAAGAGUAAGCAUUUGGAUUGGACCAGGAUUUGGAGAACUUGUCAUGUUGCUCUACGUGCAUAUGAAAUACAUCAUUGUAACUUAGAAUGUGAAUUACAGAACAAACAUGAAAGUUAGAAAAAUAUUCU